CUUCUUCAGAUAAAUGGUUGCACUUCCAUCGGAUAUUUUCCAGUCCCUCCAAUCAUCAGGCUCGGGUAAACAGAUGACCAUCUCAGUCCCCCAGCCCUGGCGGCACUUCACGACCUUGGCUUGUCUGACACUGCCCCCCACCCCCACUGCCCCUGGAAGGAUGUUUUGAAAAGCAACAUUUUCCCUCCAUCAGGGUUCCUCUUUCUCCCUCGCCCCGUUGUCUUGCUGGAUGCGGGGGCGGCCGAAUGGGGGCUCGGGGGCCUGAGAAAAGAGGUGAAAAAAAACCCAACUUGUGAAAACCCAAGAGAAACCGAAAGACAUGAACACUGGAAAAAAAGAAAACAGAAAAAGAGCUUCUUCAGGACCCAGGCGGUUAAGGAACUGGCCUCGACAGGAAGUGGGCAGGAGGCUGUUUGCAGUGCGCUCAUGGGAACUGAGUUGGAAAGUGCUGUGCCCUCUGAUCUGCAUUUCCUGGAUUCUGAAGAGCAAACAACAAGCAAGCAACAUUCAACAACAGGGAGCCGCCACCACCGUGUACUGUGCCGUCGCCCCGGAGCUGGAGGGCCUGGGGGGGAUGUACUUCAACAGCUGCUGCCGCUGCCUGCCGUCAGCCGAAGCCCAGAGUGAAGACUCCGCGCGGGCCCUGUGGGCGCUGAGUGAGCGGCUGCUUCAGGGGGCACCCGGCGGCCCGCCCUCCUAG
rnacentral:lncRNA from 1 species